rnacentral:rRNA from 1 species
AUGCCGGUGUGAGUAGCGAAAGACGGGUGAGAAUCCCGUCCACCGAUUGACUAAGGUUUCCAGAGGAAGGCUCGUCCGCUCUGGGUUAGUCGGGUCCUAAGCUGAGGCCGACAGGCGUAGGCGAUGGAUAACAGGUUGAUAUUCCUGUACCACCUAUAAUCGUUUUAAUCGAUGGGGGGACGCAGUAGGAUAGGCGAAGCGUGCGAUUGGAUUGCACGUCUAAGCAGUAAGGCUGAGUAUUAGGCAAAUCCGGUACUCGUUAAGGCUGAGCUGUGAUGGGGAGAAGACAUUGUGUCUUCGAGUCGUUGAUUUCACACUGCCGAGAAAAGCCUCUAGAUAGAAAAUAGGUGCCCGUACCGCAAACCGACACAGGUAGUCAAGAUGAGAAUUCUAAGGUGAGCGAGCGAACUCUCGUUAAGGAACUCGGCAAAAUGACCCCGUAACUUCGGGAGAAGGGGUGCUCUUUAGGGUUAACGCCCAGAAGAGCCGCAGUGAAUAGGCCCAAGCGACUGUUUAUCAAAAACACAGGUCUCUGCUAAACCGUAAGGUGAUGUAUAGGGGCUGACGCCUGCCCGGUGCUGGAAGGUUAAGAGGAGUGGUUAGCUUCUGCGAAGCUACGAAUCGAAGCCCCAGUAAACGGCGGCCGUAACUAUAACGGUCCUAAGGUAGCGAAAUUCCUUGUCGGGUAAGUUCCGACCCGCACGAAAGGCGUAACGAUUUGGGCACUGUCUCAACGAGAGACUCGGUGAAAUCAUAGUACCUGUGAAGAUGCAGGUUACCCGCGACAGGACGGAAAGACCCCGUGGAGCUUUACUGUAGCCUGAUAUUGAAAUUCGGCACAGCUUGUACAGGAUAGGUAGGAGCCUUUGAAACGUGAGCGCUAGCUUACGUGGAGGCGCUGGUGGGAUACUACCCUAGCUGUGUUGGCUUUCUAACCCGCACCACUUAUCGUGGUGGGAGACAGUGUCAGGCGGGCAGUUUGACUGGGGCGGUCGCCUCCUAAAAGGUAACGGAGGCGCUCAAAGGUUCCCUCAGAAUGGUUGGAAAUCAUUCAUAGAGUGUAAAGGCAUAAGGGAGCUUGACUGCGAGACCUACAAGUCGAGCAGGGUCGAAAGACGGACUUAGUGAUCCGGUGGUUCCGCAUGGAAGGGCCAUCGCUCAACGGAUAAAAGCUACCCCGGGGAUAACAGGCUUAUCUCCCCCAAGAGUUCACAUCGACGGGGAGGUUUGGCACCUCGAUGUCGGCUCAUCGCAUCCUGGGGCUGUAGUCGGUCCCAAGGGUUGGGCUGUUCGCCCAUUAAAGCGGUACGCGAGCUGGGUUCAGAACGUCGUGAGACAGUUCGGUCCCUAUCCGUCGUGGGCGUAGGAAAUUUGAGAGGAGCUGUCCUUAGUACGAGAGGACCGGGAUGGACAUACCUCUGGUGUACCAGUUGUCGUGCCAACGGCAUAGCUGGGUAGCUAUGUGUGGACGGGAUAAGUGCUGAAAGCAUCUAAGCAUGAAGCCCCCCUCAAGAUGAGAUUUCCCAACUUCGGUUAUAAGAUCCCUCAAAGAUGAUGAGGUUAAUAGGUUCGAGGUGGAAGCAUGGUGACAUGUGGAGCUGACGAAUACUAAUCGAUCGAAGACUUAAUCAAAUU